GGCCGCGGGAGCUGGAAGGCUGGCGGAAGCUGUGUCACAGCGCGCCCCUGCGCCCACCACCCAGACAAGAGAGAUCUAAGUCAGGCGUUGGGCAGGAGAUGGAGCUGAGGCCUACCCCAGGCCAGGCCUGGACGUGACAUGCCCACGUGGCGUUGAGGAAAAACCAGUGUUUCCCACCGACUGGAACACAAGGGCAGGAGGCGAAGGCAGGAGAAUCCAGGCGACCCUGGGGCUUUUCUGCUGGGGCACUGUUCCCCCUGUGGCAGGGCCAUCCACAGAGGGGCUGGCGGAAGUGGGAGGACGAGUGCAUUCCACAGAGAUGGGAUUUGAACCUGGGCAUUCUGGCACGGGCCACGCUCUGGACCACUGGGCCCCAGAUCCACAGCUUCUCACCUGCAGCCGCUGAGGAUGUGGAGGCAGACCAGGCAGGCCCGUGGGAAGGACCACCAAAAAGCGAGCUUCUCAAUGCUGGAAGGGGACUCGUUGGGUCAGUGGGACGUGGGCUUCACGUUUGCUGGGCUGAAGACGUAGCUCUCCAUGCUGGCAUCCCAGCGGACACCCCCACUGCCACUGCUGCACCACGUCUUCACGUACACCAGAGAGCAGACUUGAGAGUUUCUGCGCAUACAGUGGGUGUGAAAUGGUGCCCUGCUGGGUUUUGAAUCGGCAUUCCUUGACCACCGGCCAUAUUGCAGCACUUUUCAUUUCUUCUGUCAAAUGCCCGUGCAUGUCUUGGCUUACACUUUGCAGGUGUUCUGUAUUUUCCACACCAAUCCCUGGGGUGUAUGUCUUCGGCCUACCUGUUACUUGUCUUCUCAGUUUGCUGAUGUAUCAUGUGAUAAACAGAAAGUCUUAAUUUUAAUAUCAUAGCAUUUAUCAAUCUGAUUUCUUUUUUUGAGACGGGGUCUCGCUCUGUCGUGCA
rnacentral:lncRNA from 1 species